rnacentral:pre_miRNA from 1 species
AAUAAGAUCAUUUUUCAGUUUUUUGAUAUAAUGUUUUGACUCUUCAUCUUAUUUGAAUUUUUUAUGAUUAAUAUUUUUAUUCUUACUAGAUGAUAAAAUAUGAAUAGUACUUUAUGCGUGACUAAUUUUUUUUAAGUUUUUGUACAAUUUUUUUAAAUAAGAUAAAUGGUCAAACGUUGGACACCAAGAAAC